UCCGUAGGUGAACCUGCGGAAGGAUCAUUACCUAGAGUUUGUGGGCUUUGCCUGCUAUCUCUUACCCAUGUCUUUUGAGUACCUUCGUUUCCUCGGCGGGUCCGCCCGCCGAUUGGACAAAUUUAAACCCUUUGCAGUUGCAAUCAGCGUCUGAAAAAACAUAAUAGUUACAACUUUCAACAACGGAUCUCUUGGUUCUGGCAUCGAUGAAGAACGCAGCGAAAUGCGAUAAGUAGUGUGAAUUGCAGAAUUCAGUGAAUCAUCGAAUCUUUGAACGCACAUUGCGCCCCUUGGUAUUCCAUGGGGCAUGCCUGUUCGAGCGUCAUUUGUACCUUCAAGCUCUGCUUGGUGUUGGGUGUUUGUCUCGCCUUUGCGUGUAGACUCGCCUCAAAACAAUUGGCAGCCGGCGUAUUGAUUUCGGAGCGCAGUACAUCUCGCGCUUUGCACUCAUAACGACGACGUCCAAAAAGUACAUUUUUACACUCUUGACCUCGGAUCAGGUAGGGAUACCCGCUGAACUUAAGCAUAUCAAUAAGCGGAGGA
rnacentral:rRNA from 1 species